rnacentral:rRNA from 1 species
UACGUAGGGGGCAAGCGUUGUCCGGAUUUAUUGGGCGUAAAGAGCGUGUAGGCGGCCUGGAAGGUCAGCUGUGAAAACUUGAGGCUCAACCUCGAGACGUCGGUUGAAACCACCUGGCUAGAGUCCGGAAGAGGAGAGUGGAAUUCCCGGUGUAGCGGUGAAAUGCGCAGAUAUCGGGAAGAACACCCGUGGCGAAGGCGGCUCUCUGGGACGGUACUGACGCUGAGACGCGAAAGCGUGGGGAGCGAACAGG